rnacentral:rRNA from 1 species
UUGUUCGCAAUGGGCGCAAGCCUGACGACGCAACGCCGCGUGGAGGACGAAGAUCUUCGGGUCGUAAACUCCUGUCGAGUGGGAAGAACGGUUCGCGGGUGAAUAGCCUGCGGAAGUGACGGUACCACUAAAGGAAGCCCCGGCUAACUCCGUGCCAGUAGCCGCGGUAAUACGGGGGGGGCAAGCGUUGUUCGGAAUUACUGGGCGUAAAGGGCUCGUAGGCGGCCAACUAAGUCGGACGUGAAAUCCCCAGGCUCAACCUGGGAACUGCGUCCGAUACUGGAUGGCUUGAAUUCGGGAGAGGGAUGCAGAAUUCCAGGUGUAGCGGUGAAAUGCGUAGAUAUCUGGAGGAAUACCGGUGGCGAAGGCGGCAUCCUGGACCAUUACUGACGCUGAGGCGCGAAAGCUAGGGGAGCAAAC